UGGGUGCGAAAUAGACUUACCUCCACGUGGUGCACCCCUGGGCAACGUAUUCUCAUACGGCAAAAAAGUCUAU
rnacentral:ribozyme from 1 species